UGUGAAUCCAGAUGGUCCCUGGAAUAGAGCUGGUAAGAACCUACUCCAAGCAUCUUCCAUUAUCAUUCCCACUUGGAUAAACAGGAAGGAGCCUCUUGACUUUGGUCACAUGGACUGAAGACUUCUGGUAUAUGGAAGCAAGGUCCAGUGAAAUGUGGAUCCCUGUAACCGUUAACACAGAGAAGCAUGUUGUGUCAGUGUCCACGACUCUGGUGUCUGGCACUUACUAAAUGCUUGUCAAAAGCAGGUUGAAUGAGGACAACAAUGCCAGUGGAGAAGGGACGAACAUUUUUUUUUUUUGGUGUGACACAUGGUCUCUCAGAGCUAACAAGAGGAGACUGAACUAAAGGGACUUUAAAUAACUUCCAAACCAUAUUCUUAUUUUAGGAAAUAUCAUCAG